ensembl:lncRNA
UGGCCGGUAUGUGACAGGCUUCCUGAAGGGCUUCCGUAGUUAUUGGCUUCAAUAAAUAGAACAUGGGUUACGCGCUGGAGGGAGGAAAAUAGCAGAGGAAGAAAUUUUGGCAAUGUAGCACAGAAAACAGGCGCUGGUGGCGGAGAGAGCAACGUGAUGCGCACUUUUGACAAGUCUUCAAAGUCUUUGCAUGCAUACUCAGGGCUUUUAUCCUGGCUGAAGUGGAAUCUCUAUUUAUGAGCUGCGCAAGAAAGAUAUUGAUCUUGGACUACAAUGAAAACAACUCCAUGAAAGUACAUCAAGAUCUGACCUUGUAGCAAAAAACAAAAAAACUAAAAAAAACUGAUCAGUUUUAUGUUUUUCUGAUAGCCUGCUGGACAUGAUGUCAAGAUAUUUCAAUGUGUGGGUGUCUUUUGGCAUACUGGCCCCUCUGCUGCUGGCUGCAGGGGCAGUUGUGUGUUCAGAGAAGGAGAAACUGCUGCAGCUGCUCCCCAGCAAGGUGACACAGCAAACGGACUGUUUGAUGGAGUGCACUGGGAUGACAUACAUCAAAAAAGUGGAACUUCAGGACAACCGUAAUAUAAGGCUUAAAGACUCCUCUGAAGGAGACCUCGGGGAAUACUGUUGGUCUACGGAGAUCAAGUGCACCGUUGGAGAGAGCUUCCAGCAUGCCUACGUUGUGGUGCCAGUGGAUACAUCCACAGUCGGACAUGAGAUGCUGGAGGUCAAAACCACAGGCCCCACUGCCAGCACCCUGCCUGCACACAACAGCCCCACCACAAUCGCAGAGAACUGUGGCCUCCUUUACGAUGUCACGCAGCAAUUCAGCGCAGAAAACAUGGGGACUUCAUUCUGCAUACAUGUCGUCACACAGGGAGACGUCCUGGGGGACGAAGUUCUUAAAUGUCCUCCAUAUAUGGUCACCUUCUGGCAGAGAAUUCAAAACCAGUCUAACCAAGAAGGUGCCGGAUAAAAUCUCACCGAUGGAAUAAGUAGUCAGAUCUUUUACCCAGGUCCUGCAUUGGAAAUGUUACUUUAGGAUGUGUCUGAAAUGUAGUCGAGUAGAAGCAUAAAGUAUCAUAGUAUGGUAAUACUCAAGUAGAGUACAGGUAUCCUAAAUUAGUGUUGUACAGUACUUAAUAUUUAGUUACAUUCCACCACUGUAAAAUAUAUCAGGAUCACUGACCAUUGGUUUGCAUUGAGGUUGAUUUACAUAGUUAAAGUAAGUUUUGCGUGGGACAUAAACAUAAUACAUAAAGUAGUGUGUAACUGAUUCAUACAUUAUUACCACUGGCUUACACAUCUCUCCUCUGCAGUGACUGAGGAGGUAAUGUGGAAUCAGAAAAUAUAACAGACGAUGAGUUUGCUUUCGACUUUCAUGCAGUGGAAAGCACAAUGACCUCUGCAGCUGCUCGUGUGACACACAAUAAUUGUCCAUGCUCUUCUGUUUGUUGUUGAGUUGGAGUUGUUGCAACCCUGUGUUGCUGUGAAGCUCUCAGAAAAGUUUGGUGCAAAGCCAACUUUCCAUCUGCAUGUGGGAGAGCAAGUCAUGACUGAUUUUUCAUUUCUGAGUGAAGUCAAUUAGUUAUCCUUUAAACCUUCCGUCUCUUGUUUUAGUUGUGCAGGUUAUUUGUUGGUAAGAUGCAGAUGUGUGGAUCACUUUGUGUGUAUUAAAUCCAGCUUUGUCAAGCACUUAGAGACUCUUAGACUUAGACUCAGAGGCUGGAUUUAUUCAAAGGCGACUGGAGUGAUGUAAAAGUUCUCAGUUCGAUGACGAUUGUAAAUAUGUGAUGUUAAUGGUUGUUAAUGGUUGGUUGAGUGUUUAUGGCUGAUUAAAACUGUUUAUUUUCCUUUUCAGUCAUGUGUUCAAACAAAUGAUUGCAAACCUACUUCUUAUUACAAUUAACUUCAAGACAGAUUAAGUAUACACUUGUUGGCAUGAAUGUAUGCAGUUUUAGUCCACUUCCUGAAAUGCAAAAAGAAAAAAAACGAACUGGACUAACUUCUGGUAUUUUUGGAGACAUAGUAAAUUUGGAAUGCUAAAUGAUAUAUCAUAGUACAAUUAGGUCAACAACCCACAAGUGGCCCUCAUGACUCUGAAACUCAGAGCACACGUGUCCUUAACGACUCUGUAAGGACACUCCCACACAGGUUUAAAAAGCCUAGAACUCCCCUCCAGUUAGUUAGUCUCACUUGGAUGAGAGGUGAAACAUCUCCAACAGUUGCCUACGAUACAGCACUUAGAAUUACCAUCACCUGGAUGACUGAGAACCUUCAUCAGCGUAUUUGGUUUACUGUACAAAUGUGUAGUAUGUCAGCGUGUGCUGCUCUGGUGAUAAUAUAAUGCGUUUUGAUUAUUUACCAAAAUCUAAAUUCUACCUGCUCCUGGUUGUGUGGCCAGAAUGAUCUGUCAGUUCUGUUCCACUCACAAGAAAUAACAUAGUGCCACCUAGUGGUAAUAAGUUAGUAGGGAAGACGCUACAGGGCAAAGACUUUAUCAGAUAGAUAUCAUCACAAAACAUCCCCAGUUGAUUACUUACAUUAACACAAUUAUUCUUUUUAUUUCAGGUUUUCUGAAAAUGUCAUGUUUGUAUAUCCAAAAGAGACAUUUUUCCAAAUACAAAUGCACUAAAUUGAAUACAUUUCCCGCACAAAAAUCAAUGUGAACUUUGUAUGAAGCCACGUUUGUUUCUUUCGGUUCCCAUAUUAGAGUGAAAGGUUUUUACAGAGGAAAUUCAGAAUAUUUCUUUUUAUACUUAAUAUAUCAGGAAAAUACAGCCAACUGUAUAUACUGCCAUGUUUUGGGGAAUAAAAUGUAAAUAAAAUGAAUAAAUCAGGCCAUGAAUAUUAUACAAACAAAACCCUCCAUUAAAAUCUUCAGAACAUGCCGUAGAAAGGAAUAGAACUGGAAAGUUUGAUGUAUAUCUGUGCUAGUGAAGUGGAGACUCAGGCUAAGCGUAUGAUGAAAGACAGCUUCUAUGAGACAAAGACACAUUUAGACAAAAGAAAACUACAAGGCACUUUUUUUAACCCUUUAAAAUGCAUUUACUGCCAUGACAUGGUUAUAUUAGACCUUGCAAACAAACCCAUUUUUGACUCCCUGACGUAGGUGCAAUUUUGUUCAUUGUGCUUUGACACGUAAACAGUUACACACAGACUAUGUUUACAGAUUGUUUUAUAGUCCCACAUUUAAAUAAACCUAUAAAAACACACUGGAUUUAAACAACAUUUAUGAUAGUUAAAUGUAAAUAUUGUAAAUGCAUGUAUUUGAGAGAGCGAGGCAUGCACUGACAUGGUAAAAGCACAUUUUUAAGCAGUAUUAAGUAAAUAUAUGUUGCACUACAGCAAAACAUAAUCAUUUACGUCCAUGCUGAUAUACUGGCAUAUGUCUACAGUCUUACAUUCUCAUGGUCCAUUCAGCUGUCCUUAGCUUGCAGUCAGGUCUAAAUGGAGGAGGAUGAUGUUGGUGUGCUCUGCUGGCAGACGUCCAGUAGCAGCGUAACAUAACCACCCGGGGUGAGUGUCCAAUAACAGGACUUUCUGCACAGCCUGUGCUCAGGCCUGCAUGAAAUCGUACACGUGCUGCUGUCCAUGCUCCAACAGCAACGCACAGACAGUGGCGAAAAAUAUAAAAAGGGCAGCAGCAUGCAGACAUUUGUGAUUAAUGUGAAACAGCUAU